AGAUUAAGUUAUUAAGGGCGCACGGUGGAUGCCUUGGCACUAGAAGCCGAUGAAGGACGUUACUAACGACGAUAUGCUUUGGGGAGCUGUAAGUAAGCUUUGAUCCAGAGAUUUCCGAAUGGGGAAACCCAGCAUGAGUUAUGUCAUGUUAUCGAUAUGUGAAUACAUACCAUAUCAGAAGGCAUACCCGGAGAACUGAAACAUCUUAGUACCCGGAGGAAGAGAAAGAAAAUUCGAUUCCCUUAGUAGCGGCGAGCGAAACGGGAAGAGCCCAAACCAACAAGCUUGCUUGUUGGGGUUGUAGGACACUCUAUACGGAGUUACAAAGGACGACAUUAGACGAAUCAUCUGGAAAGAUGAAUCAAAGAAGGUAAUAAUCCUGUAGUCGAAAAUGUUGUCUCUCUUGAGUGGAUCCUGAGUACGACGGAGCACGUGAAAUUCCGUCGGAAUCUGGGAGGACCAUCUCCUAAGGCUAAAUACUCUCUAGUGACCGAUAGUGAACCAGUACCGUGAGGGAAAGGUGAAAAGCACCCCGGAAGGGGAGUGAAAUAGAACCUGAAACCGUGUGCUUACAAGUAGUCAGAGCCCGUUAAUGGGUGAUGGCGUGCCUUUUGUAGAAUGAACCGGCGAGUUACGAUUUGAUGCAAGGUUAAGCAGUAAAUGUGGAGCCGUAGCGAAAGCGAGUCUGAAUAGGGCGUUUAGUAUUUGGUCGUAGACCCGAAACCAGGUGAUCUACCCUUGGUCAGGUUGAAGUUCAGGUAACACUGAAUGGAGGACCGAACCGACUUACGUUGAAAAGUGAGCGGAUGAACUGAGGGUAGCGGAGAAAUUCCAAUCGAACCUGGAGAUAGCUGGUUCUCUCCGAAAUAGCUUUAGGGCUAGCCUCAAGUGAUGAUUAUUGGAGGUAGAGCACUGUUUGGACGAGGGGCCCCUCUCGGGUUACCGAAUUCAGACAAACUCCGAAUGCCAAUUAAUUUAACUUGGGAGUCAGAACAUGGGUGAUA
rnacentral:rRNA from 1 species